rnacentral:rRNA from 1 species
UGGGGAAUAUUGCACAAUGGGCGAAAGCCUGAUGCAGCAACGCCGCGCGAGUGAUGAAGGCCUUCGGGUUGUAAAGCUCUGUCUUCUGGGACGAUAAUGACGGUACCAGAGGAGGAAGCCACGGCUAACUACGUGCCAGCAGCCGCGGUAAUACGUAGGUGGCAAGCGUUGUCCGGAUUUACUGGGCGUAAAGGAUGCGUAGGCGGAUACUUAAGUCAGAUGUGAAAAUCCCGGGCUUAACUUGGGAACUGCAUUUGAAACUGGGUAUCUAGAGUGCGGGAGAGGAAAGUGGAAUUCCUAGUGUAGCGGUGAAAUGCGUAGAGAUUAGGAAGAACACCAGUGGCGAAGGCGACUUUCUGGACCGUAACUGACGCUGAGGCAUGAAAGCGUGGGGAGCAAACA